GAUGAACGCUAGCGGGAGGCCUAACACAUGCAAGCCGAGCGGGAUUUGAGACUAGCUUGCUAGUCUUAAUGAGAGCGGCGUACGGGUGCGGAACACGUGUGCAACCUGCCUUUAUCUGGGAGAUAGCCUUUCGAAAGGAAGAUUAAUAUCCCAUAAUAUAAUGAUUGGCAUCAAUUAUUAUUGAAAGCUCCGGCGGAUAGAGAUGGGCACGCGCAAGUUUAGAUAGUUGGUGAGGUAACGGCUCACCAAGUCGAUGAUCUUUAGGGGGCCUGAGAGGGUGAUCCCCCACCCUGGUACUGAGACACGGACCAGACUCCUACGGGAGGCAGCGGUGAGGAAUAUUGGACAAUGGGUGAAAGCCUGAUCCAGCCAUCCCGCGUGAAGGAUUAAGGACCUAUGGUUUGUAAACUUCUUUUCUACAGGGAUAAACCUACUCUCGUGAGAGUAGCUGAGGGUACUGUAGGAAUAAGCACCGGCUAACUCCGUGCCAGCAGCCGCCGUAAUAC
rnacentral:rRNA from 1 species